UGCUGCAGUAGAGACCUGAGGGAGAGAGCAGAGGAGAAAUCAGAGAGAACGAGCGGUGGUUAAUAAGCAGAGAAAAGAGUGGAAAAGUUGAUUUUGCAGUUGAAAAACAUAACUUACCUGGUCGGGAACUGACGGGGAUUUUAUGAGAACUAAGUCACACCGGUUUUGGUCAGCUUUUUUGCUCAGUUUGAAGCUCGGUUGGAGCGAGGAUUGGUGCACAGACGGGAUUCAAGAUGGCGAGCCAGACCCAGACCUUCGACUCAUCUUCUCCUCAGUGAGGAAAUCUUCUGCGUAUGAUGACUCGCUGCCAGAGUGGUAGGGGUAUCAGGAAUUGGUUUUGAACUGAACUGGGAACUGAUUGAAUUAUUAUCUUUGGACUGAAUCGAACUGAAACUUUUCAUUGAACUGAAUAAUUGAACUCACAUUUGGACUUGAACUUGAAUUUAAGGUGUUAUACUUUUAUUUUCAUAUUGAGUUCAUAUUUUUGAAUGUGAUUUGAAAUGAUUGUGGUCCACUUUGAUUUGAUUGUGUAAUUGAAGGUAUUCUCUUACCUGUAAAAGAAAG